rnacentral:rRNA from 1 species
UACAGAGGGGGCGAGCGUUGUUCGGAAUUACUGGGCGUAAAGGGCGCGUAGGCGGCCAACUAAGUCAGACGUGAAAUCCCUCGGCUCAACCGGGGAACUGCGUCUGAUACUGGAUGGCUUGAAUUCGGGAGAGGGAUGCGGAAUUCCAGGUGUAGCGGUGAAAUGCGUAGAUAUGCGGAGGAACACCGAUGGCGAAGGCAAUCCCCUGGACCUGUACUGACGCUCAUGCACGAAAGCGUGGGGAGCAAACAGG